rnacentral:lncRNA from 1 species
AUGUCCAUGGCUUCAAAUUCACCUCUAACUAAAAAAAGAAAUUAGUUCCACAUGUUUAACAUAAUUGAAAAGCAAGUUAAAUUAAACAUGAAAACAGAAACAAAGAAAGAAAGAACUCUAGAAACUCCAAUGGUUGAAGAUUGCAUGCGACAAAGCCUUCCUCCUCUCCAAAGGUCACGGCAAAGCUCCUCUCUUUGGUGGAAUGGAAGUGUUGCGGCAAAAGGAUGGGGGAAGGUUAGAAAAUAUGGAAGAAUGGUGGUAGAUGGCUUGCGGCAAGGAAGAAAAAAAUGGCUAGAAUUGUGUUUCUCUGAGGUUUUUGGAUGUGUAGAAUGGUGUGGCUGGAAGUAUGGACGAAAAUUCGGUGAUUCAACCCUAAAAUAUGUAUUUAUAUAGGCACCACAAAACCCUAGAGAAAUCAGCACAAGUAAUGGGCUAGGGUUUAGGGUGCGGCAAGGGUAGAGAUCCACAAUGAAUUAGGGUUUCUAGAAAGCCUUGCAAGGCAAGGAAAAUAGGGUUUCUAGAAAGCUUAUUUCAUCUAGAAGCCCAAAGCCAAGAAUAGAAACUCUCAAAAAUGGAAACCUUCAAGAAUAGAAACUUCCAACAUUAGAAACUUUGGUUGCCAAUUCCGACUUCUUUGUUCUUCACUUUCAUUUCUUCAUUUCUUAAACUCAUUUGACCUUCAAAUUUGUCCAUUCCCUAUGCUCCAUAAGCAUACAUUCCAUUUAAGCUCAUUUUUGCUCUAAAAUGCACCAAAAUUGCACUUUCUUGCUUCAAUUGCCAUAUGAACCUACAAACACACGAAACUAGCUUAAAUCACUAUAAUAAACAAUAACUAACAACGUAAAUGCAAGAAAACAAGAUAACAAAGUCGCAUAAAUAUGCUCCUAUCAAAUUCCCCCACACUUAGCUUUUGCUAGUCCUCGAGCAAAAUAAAGAAUUAAAGAAAAACAAAACGAACAAAACAAACAAAACACAACCUAAACCUUCCAACAUUUACCUCAGGGAUUUCCAAUACACAUGACAUGUUAAAAAUCAUCAUUCCCACAGAUUUUAGUCAUCUUUACACUUAAGCACACACUUAAUCAUAGUCACCACGUACUAGUUCACAUUUAACCAAUUAAAACAUGAUUUUGAACGCAGUAACAUGCCUUAGAGAAUUUGCUCAAUUCCUUACUAGAUAUGCACUCAAUUUUCACACAGAUUUUCUGACUACACACCCUAUACUAGUUAUAUGUGAGAAGAUUGAUGUAAAUAUGAAAACGAAUGCUCACAUAUAUGUUAUAACAAGGAAAGCUUUCUCUGAAUUUAAUAAGCAUGUAUAUGAUCUCAUGAAAGGAAUGCUACUACUUAGACGCGAGAACCAGUGACACCAU